GAUUCGGUUUUUAUCUGCUUUGGGAGCAGAGGGUCGUGAGUUCGAAUCCCACCGCCCCGACCA
rnacentral:tRNA from 1 species